rnacentral:Y_RNA from 8 species
GGCUGGUCCGAUGGUAGUGGGUUACCAGAACUUAUUAACGUUAGUGUCACUAAAGUUGGUAUACAACCCCCCACUGCUAAAUUUGACUGGCUUUU